rnacentral:piRNA from 1 species
UGGAGGCCACGUUUGGAUCCUGACUGCCUA